CCUUCGGGGGGUGGAGAGUGGCGCACGGGUGAGUAACGCGUGGGAACCUAUCCCGGGGUGGGGGAUAACCACUGGAAGCGGUGGCUAAUACCGCACGAUCCCUGAGGGGCAAAGCAGCGAUGCGCCCUGGGAGGGGCCCGCGUCCGAUUAGCUAGUUGGCGGGGUAAGAGCCCACCAAGGCGGUGAUCGGUAGCUGGUCUGAGAGGAUGAUCAGCCACACUGGGACUGAGACACGGCCCAGACUCCUACGGGAGGCAGCAGUAGGGAAUAUUGGACAAUGGGCGCAAGCCUGAUCCAGCCAUGCCGCGUGAGUGAUGAAGGCCUUAGGG
rnacentral:rRNA from 1 species